rnacentral:lncRNA from 1 species
ACAACUUAACUUUCAUUACAACUUCCAACAAAAGACAAUUAAUUUUUCAUAAUAACAAACAAACAGAGAAUAAAGUAUUACAAAAACUAAUUUCUUCAAUAAUUUAAUUACUUGUCUCAUUUCAAUUAUAGCAGGAUCAUGCAUAAUGAAAUUAUUUGGCAGCUGCAUUUUCCAUUCGGGCACGCAUAGUAGAUUCGACCUUCAUUUCCAUUCUUAUUGGAACGGGUUAUUUUACAAAUUACAAAUUAUUUUUCUACAAAAAAAAUUGUUUGUCAAUGAAUAUAAAGUUAACACAGCCGAACGAAUAGACUUUCAUGGUUAAAAAUAAUAAUAAAUCAAUAUGUCAUAAGUUCCAGCUUUCGUUCCAACUAAGGAUCUAGCAAAAACAUAACAUAUCGAUCUGAUACAUAUACUUUAUUUCAAAAAACAAACAGAAAAAUUGAUCACUUCAUCAAUCAAAGAGAUCUAAUUGGGAAUUUAGGCUUAUGAGAGAGUAAUGGAAGGAGGAUGAGGAUACGAAAUGUGAAGAGGUACCUUGAAAGCUGGUGAUUUUGGAUCUCACUUUGUUCCAGGAGGAAGUUUGUUCCAGCGGCAGCGAAACAACAAGUUUGGCCUGAGAGAGAGUUUGCUAGAGAGAGAGAGAGAAUGUUUGGUAACGGGUGAUUUGAAAGUUUUUUUUUAUUUUCUCUUCUUUAUUGAUACUGAUGUGGCACAGCCACAUCAUCCGGUCGCCAACCCCGGUCCCGAAAUCCGCUCUCCCCAAAAUUAUUGUACAAAUUAUAUAAUCACUGAAGUGGAAAUGAAUUCAUUCAUACAUCCACCUUGAGGACAAGGUAAUUUUUGGAGAGCGGAGUAUUGUUACACUCCUUGACAUUGUGCAGCUAAGAGGUGCAUUGGAUAGAUU